rnacentral:rRNA from 1 species
GAUGAACGCUGGCGGCGUGCCUAAUACAUGCAAGUCGAGCGAACAGACGAGGAGCUUGCUCCUCUGACGUUAGCGGCGGACGGGUGAGUAACACGUGGAUAACCUACCUAUAAGACUGGGAUAACUUCGGGAAACCGGAGCUAAUACCGGAUAAUAUAUUGAACCGCAUGGUUCAAUAGUGAAAGACGGUUUUGCUGUCACUUAUAGAUGGAUCCGCGCCGCAUUAGCUAGUUGGUAAGGUAACGGCUUACCAAGGCGACGAUGCGUAGCCGACCUGAGAGGGUGAUCGGCCACACUGGAACUGAGCCACGGUCCAGACGCCUACGGGAGGCAGCAGUAGGGAAUCUUCCGCAAUGGGCGAAAGCCUGACGGAGCAACGCCGCGUGAGUGAUGAAGGUCUUCGGAUCGUAAAACUCUGUUAUUAGGGAAGAACAAAUGUGUAAGUAACUAUGCACGUCUUGACGGUACCUAAUCAGAAAGCCACGGCUAACUACGUG